CACGUAGGUGGCGAGCGUUAUCCGGAUUUACUGGGCGUAAAGCGUGUGCAGACUGGGUAGCAAGUGGUGUAUGAAAGGGUGAGGCUCAACCUCACGAGGGUAUGCCAGACUGCUGCUCUAGAGUGCGAGAGAGGGAUGUGGAAUUCCGGGUGUAGUGGUGAAAUGCGUAGAGAUCCGGAGGAACCCCAGAGGCGCAAGCGGCGUCCUGGCUCGCAACUGACGUUCAGACACGACAGCAUGGGGAGCAAACGGGAUUAGAAACCCCGGUAGUCCAUGCCGUAAACGAUGCCAACUAGGCGCUGGUGGUGAUAAGCCAUCGGUGCCGCAGCUAACGCGAUAAGUUGGCCGCCUGGGGACUACGGCCGCAAGGCUAAA
rnacentral:rRNA from 1 species